rnacentral:rRNA from 1 species
UAGGGAAUCUUCGGCAAUGGACGGAAGUCUGACCGAGCAACGCUGCGUGAGUGAAGAAGGUUUUCGGAUCGUAAAGCUCUGUUGUAAGAGAAGAACGAGUGUGAGAGUGGAAAGUUCACACUGUGACGGUAUCUUACCAGAAAGGGACGGCUAACUACGUGCCAGCAGCCGCGGUAAUACGUAGGUCCCGAGCGUUGUCCGGAUUUAUUGGGCGUAAAGCGAGCGCAGGCGGUUAGAUAAGUCUGAAGUUAAAGGCUGUGGCUUAACCAUAGUAGGCUUUGGAAACUGUUUAACUUGAGUGCAAGAGGGGAGAGUGGAAUUCCAUGUGUAGCGGUGAAAUGCGUAGAUAUAUGGAGGAACACCGGUGGCGAAAGCGGCUCUCUGGCUUGUAACUGACGCUGAGGCUCGAAAGCGUGGGGAGCAAACAGGAUUAGAUACCCUGGUAGUCCACGCUGUAAACGAUGAGUGCUAGGUGUUAGACCCUUUCCGGGGUUUAGUGCCGUAGCUAACGCAUUAAGCACUCCGCCUGGGGAGUACGACCGCAAGGUU